GAUGAACGCUAGCGGCAGGCUUAACACAUGCAAGUCGAGGGGCAGCAUAAUGAAGUAGCAAUACGGAAUUGAUGGCGACCGGCGCACGGGUGCGUAACGCGUAUGUAACCUACCCUUAACAGGGGGAUAACACUGAGAAAUUGGUACUAAUACCCCAUAACACCUUGGAGGGCAUCCUUUGAGGUUGAAAGUUCCGGCGGUUAAGGAUGGACAUGCGUUGUAUUAGCUAGAUGGUGAGGUAACGGCUCACCAUGGCGACGAUACAUAGGGGGACUGAGAGGUUAACCCCCCACACUGGUACUGAGACACGGACCAGACUCCUACGGGAGGCAGCAGUGAGGAAUAUUGGUCAAUGGGCGAAAGCCUGAACCAGCCAAGUCGCGUGAGGGACGACGGUACUAAGUAUUGUAAACCUCUUUUGUCAGGGAACAAAGAGACCACGUGUGGUAAGAUGAGUGUACCUGAAGAAAAAGCAUCGGCUAACUCCGUG
rnacentral:rRNA from 1 species